rnacentral:rRNA from 1 species
UACGUAGGGACCGAGCGUUAUCCGGAUUCAUUGGGCGUAAAGAGCUCGUAGGCGGCUAUUCAAGUCGAAACGUGAAAUCUCCGGAGCUCAACUCCGAGCCUGCGUUCGAUACUGGGUAGCUAGAGUCUGGUAGGGGGAUCUGGAAUCCUGGUGUAGCGGUGGAAUGCGCAGAUAUCAGGAGGAACACCGGUGGCGAAGGCGGGAUCCUGGGCCAGUACUGACGCUGAGGAGCGAAAGCGUGGGGAGCAAACAGG